CAGAGUGUGACUGCUAGAUCAAGUUCAGAAGUUGAGUAUAGAGCUAUGGUAUAGGGAGUUUGUGAACUACCAUGGUUGCGAAAGUUAAUGAAAGAAUUGAAGUUGUCAGAAAAAAAAUAGCUCGUUCUUGUUUUGUGAUAAUAAGGCUGCUAUUAGUAUUGUCUACAAUCCUGUUCAGCAUGACAGAACUAAACACAUAGAGAUUGAU
rnacentral:misc_RNA from 1 species